UAUUCUACCCUACGGGGAAGGAUGAGAAGCUUCGACUAAGGUUCGACUCGAGCGCCAGCGAGAGAACGUUGCCGCAGGCAACGGCCCGAAGGGCGAGGAGCGAUAGCGACGAGUUAUCCUUCCCCCUCUAUUC
rnacentral:sRNA from 4 species